rnacentral:lncRNA from 1 species
UCAUUGUGGCAUUGCUGUAAGCCCACUGUAUCUAAAGAAAGAGAACAGAAAAAAAAUUCUGUCUCAGGAGAUGGGGAAGGUGUGGAGAGGUGCAAAUACAGCCUUGGCCAAAACAAUUAAAACUCAGGAGAAGAAGUCAUGAGAACUCUUUACCCCUGAAACCCAAACACGAUGCCUGCUUAAGACCAAGGCCAAGAAAAAUCAGAAGAGAAUAUCCACUCCCCAUAUACCAUCAUGAGGCCAAUAAGCAUAAAAAGGU